CAUGCAAGUCGAGGGGAAACGACAUCGAAAGCUUGCUUUUGAUGGGCGUCGACCGGCGCACGGGUGAGUAACGCGUAUCCAACCUGCCCACCACUUGGGGAUAACCUUGCGAAAGUAAGACUAAUACCCAAUGACGUCUCUAGAAGACAUCUGAAGGAGAUUAAAGAUUUAUCGGUGAUGGAUGGGGAUGCGUCUGAUUAGCUUGUUGGCGGGGUAACGGCCCACCAAGGCGACGAUCAGUAGGGGUUCUGAGAGGAAGGUCCCCCACAUUGGAACUGAGACACGGUCCAAACUCCUACGGGAGGCAGCAGUGAGGAAUAUUGGUCAAUGGACGAGAGUCUGAACCAGCCAAGUAGCGUGCAGGAUGACGGCCCUAUGGGUUGUAAACUGCUUUUAUAAGGGAAUAAAGUGAGUCUCGUGAGACUUUUUGCAUGUACCUUAUGAAUAAGGACCGGCUAAUUCCGUGCCAGCAGCCGCGGUAAUACGGAAGGUCCGGGCGUUAUCCGGAUUUAUUGGGUUUAAAGGGAGCGUAGGCCGGAGAUUAAGCGUGUUGUGAAAUGUAGACGCUCAACGUCUGCACUGCAGCGCGAACUGGUUUCCUUGAGUACGCACAAAGUGGGCGGAAUUCGUGGUGUAGCGGUGAAAUGCUUAGAUAUCACGAAGAACUCCGAUUGCGAAGGCAGCUCACUGGAGCGCAACUGACGCUGAAGCUCGGAAGUGCGGGUAUCGAACAGGAUUAGAUACCCUGG
rnacentral:rRNA from 1 species